GAAACGCGAACCAAGCAGCCGCACACGCGGCGUGAGACUUGGAGCGGACACUCGCAAGAGCGUCCUGCA
rnacentral:sRNA from 1 species